UAUCUCUGUAGAGUCUGCAUAUCAAUAAGCGGAGGAAAAGAAACUAACAAGGAUUCCCUUAGUAACGGCGAGUGAAGCGGGAAGAGCUCAAAUUUGAAAUCUUCAAGGUUUUACCUUGACGAAUUGUAGUUUAAAGAAGUGUUUUCUGUUGAAGUUUUGGUAAAAGUUCUUUGGAAUAGGACAUCAUAGAGGGUGAGAAUCCCGUAUUUGACCAUUAUUUUCAGCUGUGUGAUACACCUUCAAAGAGUCGGAUUGUUUGGGAAUGCAGUCCAAAAUGGGUGGUAAAUUUCAUCUAAAGCUAAAUAUUGGCGAGAGACCGAUAGCGAACAAGUACCGUGAGGGAAAGAUGAAAAGAACUUUGAAAAGAGAGUUAAACAGUACGUGAAAUUGUCAAAAGGGAAGCGUUUGACACCAGUGUUGUUUUCUCGAAAAUCAAUUAAAAAGAGUUGGAUUUUGUAUGUGUAAUUGACCUUAAUCAGCUUACAUGUCAAUUUUCUUGCUUUUUUUAAUGCACUUUUCGUUUAACAAGUCAACAUCAAUUUCUUUUGUUGUAAAAAGGUCAUUGGAAGGUGGCUUUCUUUUCGGAGAAAGUGUUUAUAGCCCUUGACUCCUGCAAUCGGAGAGACUGAGGUCUGCAGCGUAGAUCCUUCGGGGUUAGAUACAUUUGUGCUAAGUUAGUAGCUUUUCAUAGACAACUUGUUGACUAUGAUUAGUCAUUGUAGGCUUACUUGCUUAUGCUAUUUUACCUACGCUUAGGAUGUUGAAGAUAUGCGCGACACG
rnacentral:rRNA from 1 species